rnacentral:rRNA from 1 species
AACGCUGGCGGCGUGCCUAACACAUGCAAGUCGAACGGGACUCUUUGGAUCAAGGCUUCGGCCAAGUGAAUUUGAGUUUAGUGGCGGACGGGUGAGUAACGCGUGAGCAACCUGCCUUUCAGAGGGGGACAACAGUUGGAAACGACUGCUAAUACCGCAUGAUGUGUCGAGACCGCAUGGUCUUGACACCAAAGAUUUUAUCGCUGAAAGAUGGGCUCGCGUACGAUUAGAUAGUUGGUGAGGUAACGGCUCACCAAGUCGACGAUCGUUAGCCGGACUGAGAGGUUGAACGGCCACAUUGGGACUGAGACACGGACCAGACUCCUACGGGAGGCAGCAGUGAGGAAUAUUGGUCAAUGGGCGAGAGCCUGAACCAGCCAAGUCGCGUGAGGGAAGACGGUACUAAGUAUUGUAAACCUCUUUUGUCAGGGAACAAAGAGACCACGUGUGGUAAGAUGAGUGUACCUGAAGAAAAAGCAUCGGCUAACUCCGUG